rnacentral:rRNA from 1 species
AUUGAACGCUGGCGGCAGGCCUAACACAUGCAAGUCGAACGGGCUGGCGGACGGGUUAGUAAUGCCUGGGACUCUGCCUGGUAGUGGGGGAUAACGUCCGGAAACGGGCGCUAAUAACGCACACUAUCAGCUGAGCCUAGGUCGGAUUAGCUAGUGGGUGGGGUAAAGGCCUACCAAGGCGACGAUCCGUAACUGGUCUGAGAGGAUGAUCAGUCACACUGGAACUGAGACACGGUCCAGACUCCUACGGGAGGCAGCAGUGGGGAAUAUUGGACAAUGGGCGAAAGCCUGAUCCAGCCAUGCCGCGUGUGUGAAGAAGGUCUUCGGAUUGUAAAGCACUUGAAGUUGGGAGGCGUUACCAACAGAAUAAGCACCGGCUAACUCCGUGCCAGCAGCCGCGGUAAUAC